ensembl:snRNA U1 U1 spliceosomal RNA
UUAUCUCCCCAGCAGGGAAGAUACCAUGAUCACAGAGGUGGUUUUCCCAGGGUGAGGCUUAUCCAUUGCCCUCCAGAUGUGCUGACCCCUACAAUUUGAGCCCUGCAAGUUCCUCAAAUGUGGGAAGCUCAACUGCAUAAUUUGUAGUCGUGGGGGACUGCGUUCGUGCUCUCCCAUG